rnacentral:rRNA from 1 species
CUUCGGGUAAUGAGGAUGGCGGACGGGUGAGUAACGCGUAAGGAACUUGCCUCUUGGACUGGGACAACUGUUGGAAACGACAGCUAAUACCGGAUAUUAUGAGAUUCUCGCAUGAGAAACUUAUGAAAGCUAUAUGCGCCAAGAGAGAGCCUUGCGUUCCAUUAGCUAGUUGGUGGGGUAACGGCCCACCAAGGCGACGAUGGAUAGCCGGCCUGAGAGGGUGAACGGCCACAAGGGGACUGAGACACGGCCCUUACUCCUACGGGAGGCAGCAGUGGGGAAUAUUGGACAAUGGGCCACAAGCCUGAUCCAGCAAUUCUGUGUGCACGAUGAAGGUCUUCGGAUUGUAAAGUGCUUUCAGUUGGGAAGAAGAAAGUGACGGUACCAACAGAAGAAGCGACGGCUAAAUACGUGCCAGCAGCCGCGGUAAUACGUAUGUCGCAAACGUUAUCCGGAUUUAUUGGGCGUAAAGCGCGUCUAGGCGGAAAAAUAAGUCUGAUGUUAAAAUGCGGGGCUCAACUCCGUAUUGCGUUGGAAACUGUUUUUCUAGAGUACUGGAGAGGUGGGCGGA